GACGAACGCUGGCGGCGUGCUUAACACAUGCAAGUCGAGCGGGGCGGCGAAGAGGUGAGUAACGCGUGAGUAACUGCCCCCCUCUCUGGGAUAACAGUUGGAGACGGCUGCUAAUACCGGAUAGUGGGGGAUGACUCGGGUCCUAUCAGCUUGUUGGUGGGGUAGUGGCCUACCAAGGCGACGACGGGUAGCCGGCCUGAGCGGGCGACCGGCCACAUUGGGCUGGGAUACGGCCCAAUCUCCUACGGGAGGCAGCAGUGGGGUAGAUUGCACAAUGGUUGAAACCCUGAUGCAGCAAUGCCGCGUGCGGGAUGACGGCCUUCGGGGUGUAAACUGCUUUCAGCCAUGACGCGGUAGUGGCAGAAGAUGCACCGGCUAACUACGUGCCAGCAGCCGCGGUACUAC
rnacentral:rRNA from 1 species